GUUCGCGUAAGUAAGGAGGGAUCUGCAGAAAGAGCGGCGUUGUGGAAGUGAGAGGCACUGGGUCACUUGAGUAAAAGGAUUGUCGUAUACGUCAGUACUAUGGAGUACUACAAAAGGUGACGCGCAGGAGGAGGAUUUGUGAAUGGACGCCGUGAUGUGUGCCAGCUCACUGAUCAGAAGGCGGUGGGACCUUCUGCAGAUGCGGCCCCACCGCCACCCCCCAUCCCCCCUUCUUCUCGGUCAUCAUCCCUGCCUCCAGAUGAAUGGGGGUCCCCUAAGAUAUCGGCUCUGUCACCAUCGCAGGGGUCGCACCAAAUCCUCCAGCUUCCUGUGCCCUUUCAAAAACCUGAAAGCACGCCUCUUCUAUUUGAUGAUCCUGUAUGAUUUCCCCCUUUUUAGACAUUUUUUUUAGGUCUGGAAGCCGGCUGCCCCCUGAUUUUUUCCCCCUUUCUUGUCCUGGGUUGCCCAGGAGCAUGACAGGUGAAUUAGAAAAGAUUAGAAGCGAGCGCUAAUUGGAAAGGGUGGACAAUUAAAUAAAAGGUGAGAUUUACACCUGUUUCCCCCCGUAAUUUGUAGAUAAAGCAGAACAUGUGAGAUCUGAAAAUCAGAAUCUACUAUAAAGUAAUUAAUGCUCCUAUUUUGUUUCAUUGGCUCUCUAAAUAUUGUUAAUCUUUUUUUUUUUCUUUUUUUCUUUUUUUUUUUACUAAAUAUUUGCCUUUACACUAACAAUUUCCCCUCUUAUUUAUUCAUCGCACAUUGGACUGCAGGUAGAUGAUGUCUAUAUAACUUAUUUUUAUUUAUUUAUUUUUGCCGUGAUUUCAUUGUGAUUACAGAGAAAUCCUCCGGAGUCACCACGCUGCGGACUUUGUUGCUGGCGAAUCUUCUGCUUUUAGCCCUUUUAUAGGUUUUAAUAAGUCUUAAUCCGUCUGAUCGGUGUGGCGUAGAUAAGUCUCAUUUGAAUUGGGAUUGUUCUUUCCCCCCCCCCCCCCCCUUCUUCUUCGUCUUCUUCUCUCCACAGAAGCCUCAAACGGAGCUUAGCGCAAACAUCUACCACCCUGAGCGCAAUUAAGGCCUCAGCUAAAUUAGAUGAAGGCUAAUUGAAUGCAGCUGAGUUCCCACCAGCGAACUCCAGAAAGCUGCACGAAUGUGCGCAACACUCACCGUCCGAUGGUCAAUAAUGGCUUCUUUUUUAAGGAAAGGUGUUUCUAUUUUGUGAGUGAUCGAGGAAGUAAAGGGUUCCACUCCUCUUUUGCAUCGUUUUGGACCGAAACAACUCUGUGGAAGCGCGGCUGCAGUCCCAAACUGAACUGGUUUUAGGUACAAAACUGCACGGGGAGCAUUGUUGGAUUCAGAUUUACCUUCAGAGGAAUCUUGCUCGCAAUGACUGAUGAUAAAAUCAUAACAAUAUGAGGCAAAGCUUCUCUCAAAAUAAGAAAGGAAGAAAUGGAAAUCAAAGCCUCGCCCAAAAGUCAAGUUUGUAGGUACAAUUACAAGUAUAGUCUUCUUUGAAAUAAUUGUUUGGUGAAUAAAGUCUGCACCAUAACAAGUAAAAUAUAGAAUGAAAUGAUCAGUGCUUAUUUGGUUUAAAUAAAUAGAUCAAAGUCAAAGAGUGAAUAAAGUUUAUAUAUCUAAAAUAAAAUGAUAUCAUAGUUCAAUAAAAAUACGGCUAAACAAACAAAGUAGCCUAUCUGCAUCUAAAACAGGAAUUCCUUGAGAAUUAAACGAUGAAUGAUUAGAUAAAAAAUAAAGUGUGAACCUAAAGAAAUGAGAGUGGCCCAUAGAAAGAAUUUUAUAACUAAAUAAAUGAAAAGGGCACUUUCAUGAAACGUAUAAGAAGGGAUGAAAGUCUGCUCCCCCAAAAAACCAAAAGUAGUUUGCGGUGAAUGAAUGCAUAAGGAAAAUAAACAUAACUAAGUAACCUGGUGAAUUAUUUUGAACUCAGCAGAUCAUUAUUUUCUGAACCUAUAAAUAAAUCAAAGUUGGUUUACAUUUGUUCCGUUUUAUCCAUUUUUAUUUAUUUAAUUUUUUAUAAAGUCCAAGUUUACAAAAAAGGCGCAAAACAGGAACUUUCUAAACUGCAAAGACCAGUUUUAUGUAUGUUUAGAUGUUAAAGUAAGUUUCAAUGACACUAGACAUAUAAAUAUGUAUAUAAAAAAAACUACUUAUAUAUAGGUACAGAUAUAGAUAUCUAUUUUCCCCCUUUCAGGAGCCCUUUAUGAUCUUAGCCAUGCAUAUUCAUAUUCAAACAGCAGUUUAUGUCCGCGAUGCCUAAGUGGUGCCAGGCCCCUGUAGGCUUGUCCUGAUGAACUACAGGUCUGCAGCUCUCACAGUGCGGAGCUUUUACCUCUGACAGCAAGGAAUGCGCAGCCCACAGAGGCUAUUUCUGUAAGUUUCCAGGCUUUACAUUCCCACUAUUCCAGAACAAACAAGCUGCGAUGCGACAUGAGCGCUGCAGGGUUAGUUUGAGGGGAACUAAAAGGGGCAACGAGCGAAUUAAUAUGUGAAAAGACUAAGUCUGAAGGAAAGAGCAACGUCAAAAAAAAAAAAAAAAAA